rnacentral:rRNA from 2 species
AGAUAGCUGGUUCUCCCCGAAAGCUAUUUAGGUAGCGCCUCGUGAAUUCAUCUCCGGGGGUAGAGCACUGUUUCGGCUAGGGGGCCAUCCCGGCUUACCAACCCGAUGCAAACUGCGAAUACCGGAGAAUGUUAUCACGGGAGACACACGGCGGGUGCUAACGUCCGUCGUGAAGAGGGAAACAACCCAGACCGCCAGCUAAGGUCCCAAAGUCAUGGUUAAGUGGGAAACGAUGUGGGAAGGCCCAGACAGCCAGGAUGUUGGCUUAGAAGCAGCCAUCAUUUAAAGAAAGCGUAAUAGCUCACUGGUCGAGUCGGCCUGCGCGGAAGAUGUAACGGGGCUAAACCAUGCACCGAAGCUGCGGCAGCGAACGUAUCACCCAAGACAACUUUACGGAGUUGACGAUUGACGGAGCGAAGCGACGUCAAAGCGUUCAUUAAAGUCGAGUUGGCUUAGGGAUACGUUCGUUGGGUAGGGGAGCGUUCUGUAAGCCUGUGAAGGUGUGUCGUGAGGCAUGCUGGAGGUAUCAGAAGUGCGAAUGCUGACAUAAGUAACGAUAAAGCGGGUGAAAAGCCCGCUCGCCGGAAGACCAAGGGUUCCUGUCCAACGUUAAUCGGGGCAGGGUGAGUCGACCCCUAAGGCGAGGCCGAAAGGCGUAGUCGAUGGGAAACGGGUUAAUAUUCCCGUACUUGGUGUUACUGCGAAGGGGGGACGGAGAAGGCUAUGUUGGCCGGGCGACGGUUGUCCCGGUUUAAGCGUGUAGGUGUGUGUUCCAGGUAAAUCCGGUUCACUUUAACACUGAGGCGUGACGACGAGGCACUACGGUGCUGAAGCAACAAAUGCCCUGCUUCCAGGAAAAGCCUCUAAGCAUCAGGUAACAC